AAACUAAAAUGAUGGCUAUGUGGACAUGAGCAGCUUCAACACCUUUAAGAACAAUCAGCAGAGCACAGACCAGGACGCAGAAAGAUUAUUUAUGAAAACUGCAAUAGUCAUCAUUUAAAGUUAUGGAACUGUGUCCGGAAUUGGUGGGUUCUUGGUCUCACUGACUUCAAGAAUGAAGCCGCGGACCCUUGCGGUAAGUCAGGGAUUUCUUCUUGGUUUGGAUCCACUGCUGGUGAGCAGAACAGAGCAGGACCCAGGAUGCAAGACCCUAGGCAUCCCCAAGGCCUUCCACUGUCCCCAGGCCUUCCAAAGAGACAGCGGCAGGACCGCACAAUCUACAACUGGAAACAGCAGGAAGUGCUAGAAAAUCACUUUAAGGAGGAACAGUACCCAGACUAUGACACACGACAAGAGCUGGCGGAGAUGCUCAAUCUCAGGGAGUACCAAGUGCAGGUGUGGUUCAAGAAUCGCCGGGCCAAACGCUCUCGGGAGCGGUGGUUCCAGAAGCAGCUCCAGCAGCUCCAGAAGCAUCCUCAGCAGCAGCAUCCU
ensembl:lncRNA TPRXL tetrapeptide repeat homeobox like (pseudogene)